ACAAACGACAUGCUAGGCUAGCUAGCUAAUUAAGGGAACCCAUGAUACUUAAAAUACACAUUAAAAAACAAUUUUGACGCACAGUAGCGUUCGGACGUUAUUGCUGUCGAGAAUUCAAAGAAGCGUGUGGUGUGGCGGUAACGUGUUUGUGGCGGUGACAGCAUUUUGCCUUCAUCAUUCAACAUGUCGACGGGUAGUGAACUACUAUAGCAGCGCCAAAUGAAAAGUGUUCCUGGAAGGUAAACAAAAGGGAACUCAUCGUACGGGAUCUCCAUCACAUGGUUGCUUCCCCAAAAAGUGUGCAUCCUCCAAGAAGAAAAUGCAAUCAAGAAAGAAGUGCCACAUGCCAGUUUCACUAAUUCCUCAGUAAAUUCACCAAAACGUCACCGUGGAGUUAUCGGGUCUGUUUAGCUGAUUGGAGAGCGAGCUUCCGCAGCUAGUGGCUCCACGACGACGACUUCUGUUUUGUUUGAUCAGCCGUUUUACUGCCGUGUUACAGACACCAGUUGGAAACAAUUAAGCAUGAACUCACAGGCAAGCAGGGCAACUUAUGGGUGAGCUUGAGGGGGAAGUGCACGCCCACCUCGCCUGCUCCCUCCUCCUCGCCCCCGCCGCCGGUCUUGGACAUCUCCUGCAUCAUCAGCUGCUCGGGAGGUACCAGGUCGUGAGUCACCAGAGAGCUUACGGUCAAGUCCUCCUCUUCGUCCUCGUCUUCCGCCAACAGCGGGUGGUCCGCCAGCGAGCGCUCCCCGAGCGUCAUCACCACCAGUCCGCCCGCACCGCCCAGCCCCACACGCCCGCCCACGUCCAUCCCUGCACUGCUGCACUUGAACAGCAUGCCGUCCAACUUGUCCUCAGAGUUCAUCUUGCACAGGUUGUAUUUCUGCCUCAUUCCUGUGAGAAUCCUGCGUAUUAAGGAGUGGGACUAUCCAGGACCAGCUGCAGUGCGCUCAAACAACCACAACGUGGCAUCUGUGAGCAGAUAAUACUCUAUCAUCUCUUUCUGACUUAUCAGGUCUUCUCAAGUUGCUAGGAAAUUUGUGUUUUUUCUUGAUCAAAUAAUUGAUUAAAUAUUUC